rnacentral:rRNA from 1 species
AGUAGUGGGGAAUAUUGCACAAUGGGCGCAAGCCUGAUGCAGCCAUGCCGCGUGUGUGAAGAAGGCCUUCGGGUUGUAAAGCACUUUCAGCGGGGAGGAAGGCGUUAAGGUUAAUAACCUUGGCGAUUGACGUUACCCGCAGAAGAAGCACCGGCUAACUCCGUGCCAGCAGCCGCGGUAAUACGGAGGGUGCAAGCGUUAAUCGGAAUUACUGGGCGUAAAGCGCACGCAGGCGGUCUGUCAAGUCGGAUGUGAAAUCCCCGGGCUCAACCUGGGAACUGCAUUCGAAACUGGCAGGCUAGAGUCUUGUAGAGGGGGGUAGAAUUCCAGGUGUAGCGGUGAAAUGCGUAGAGAUCUGGAGGAAUACCGGUGGCGAAGGCGGCCCCCUGGACAAAG